AGAGUUUGAUCCUGGCUCAGAGCGAACGCUGGCGGCAGGCCUAACACAUGCAAGUCGAACGGACCCUUCGGGGUUAGUGGCGGACGGGUGAGUAACACGUGGGAACGUGCCCUUUGGUUCGGAACAACACAGGGAAACUUGUGCUAAUACCGGAUAAGCCCUUCGGGGGAAAGAUUUAUUGCCAUUGGAGCGGCCCGCGUUGGAUUAGGUAGUUGGUGAGGUAAAGGCUCACCAAGCCUGCGAUCCAUAGCUGGUCUGAGAGGAUGAUCAGCCACAUUGGGACUGAGACACGGCCCAAACUCCUACGGGAGGCAGCAGUGGGGAAUCUUGCGCAAUGGGCGAAAGCCUGACGCAGCCAUGCCGCGUGAAUGAUGAAGGUCUUAGGAUUGUAAAAUUCUUUCAGCGGGGACGAUAAUGACGGGACCCGCAGAAGAAGCCCCGGCUAACUUCGUGCCAGCAGCCGCGGUAAUACGAAGGGGGCUAGCGUUGCUCGGAAUUACUGGGCGUAAAGGGAGCGUAUGCGGAUAGCUUACUCAGAGGUGAAAGCCCAGGG
rnacentral:rRNA from 1 species